UACGAAGGGGGCUAGCGUUGCUCGGAAUGACUGGGCGUAAAGGGCGCGUAGGCGGAUGGCACAGUCAGAUGUGAAAUUCCCGGGCUUAACCUGGGGGCUGCAUUUGAUACGUGUUGUCUUGAGUUCGGAAGAGGGUCGUGGAAUUCCCAGUGUAGAGGUGAAGUUCGUAGAUAUUGGGAAGAACACCGGUGGCGAAGGCGGCGACCUGGUCCGACACUGACGCUGAGGCGCGAAAGCGUGGGGAGCAAACAGG
rnacentral:rRNA from 1 species